UGGAGGAGUUCGUGUCCCGGGUAUGAGGCCUCCGCUCUCUCUCUGGGUCGAGCCGGGAGUGCAGGCGAGCGGGCUGUGCGGUGGGGCAGCUGCGACAGAUAAACGUAUCUACUAAUAGCACCUAAUUCAAGAGAUUGAAGUAUGGAUUAGAACAGCUCGAGGGAUAUUGAGAGAUGAGUUGAGGGGUUGUUCACACGGACCCUGAAGCCAGACUAACAGAAUUUGAAUAGAGAGAGAACACAUGCAAGUGAGGGGAAGGGCAGAGGGAGAGGAAGAGAAUCUUAAGCAGAUGCUUUGCUGAGCGAGAACCCCAACUCGGUGCUGGAUCCCACGAGCCCAAGAUCAUGACCUGAGCCAAAAUCAAGAGCCGACUGAGCCAUCCAGAUGCCUCUGCUUGACAAGUAUUUUUGAGCAGUUUUGCACACCUCUGAACAUGCACUCCUAGCACAGUCCCUGGCACGGGGUCAUCCAAAAAUGCUUUCCGAAUGAAUCAAUGAACGCUGUCAACAAUCAGAAGAGAGGUGUGUUCCUGAGUACGUCUGCACAGGGUUUCUGAUUCAUCGAACCCUUGAAAAUGUGACGUUCUGUUUGGGCAACUCCUGGAGGCGAGGACUUUCUGGCAAGAGCUCUGUGUGUUCCAACUGCGGAUUGAUGACCGGAGAAUGAAGGCCUGUCUUCUCGCCUGCCGCCCACCGCAGCGCUGACGCCGUGCCGCUCCACCAGACAGGUUUCCCUGGGGUUUGUGUUCCUGUGGGGUGACAGUAUUUAUAUUUCACAGGCAAUUCCGUGAGGCUUUUCAAAAACAGAGCAAGCCAGAGCCCAGAGAAGGUGCAUGUGGCUCCUUGCCUGGGAGAGGCUCCCACCCUGAGAGGCGGGGGGACGGGACACGGGGACAGCAGAUUCACACCUCCCUUCCCACCGAGGGACAGAUACCAGUUAUCGACAGCGGGAUUUCACAUAUUUCUUCUCUGGCUUUCCUCGCACGUCUAUCUCUGGACAAGAGCUUACGGUUACAUGGAUUGCCAGAGGCCUCUGUCUGGGAGGUGAUUACGUCGUGAGGGUGGAGCCCUCAUGAAUGGGAACAGCGCCCCUAAUAGAGGAGACCCACAGAGCUUCUCGCCUCUUCUACUGCGAGGUACCUGUGAGCCAGGAAGGGGGCCCUCACCAGACACCGAAUCCACCAGCCCCCUGAUCUCGGACUUCCCACGCCUCCAGAACCGUGAGGAAUACAUGUCUGUUGUUCUAUCAGCCGCCCAUUCCGUGAUCUUCUCUUUAGCAACCCAGACAAAGACUUCCUUCAAAUGGCUCCCCGUUUAUAUCGAAUUUCUUACUGUCCUAGAGCAUGAUAGUCCCUUUCCCAUGUCUUUGUCAUGCAUCUCUCGUCCUUUUUGCCUGGGGUCUCCUUCCUCCUUGUACAGCUGAUUAAAAAGCACUUUAUCUUUUAAAAAUCAGACCAAUAUCAAGUUUUCUAGAAAAAAAAAAGUUUAGCGUGGGGUUUAAUAGCACGGCCUCUGGCUCUGUCCCUUAGCAUCCGUGGGAAUUCUCUGAACUUUAGUCAGCAUUAUCGUAUCUAAACUGUAGCCAGCAGAGCUACCUACACCCUAGGAUGAUUGACAGUAUUAACUAUAAAGGGCUUCCCGUAGAUCCCGACGUAGAUCCUGACGCAGAGCCCACGAGUACAUGCCAUUUUUUUUGUUUCUCCAUGAAGGCGUCCCUGAUUCUUCAAGUACAGUUAACCCCCUUCUCAGAUGAGUUGUAGACACUGUUCGUGUCUUUAUUAUGGAAUUUCUUCUAUUAUCUUGCAAUUAUCUAUUUAAAUACCUCUUUUUAUACCACCUUAUCAACCCGCCCCCCAAAUCUAUUUCCUAUCGGUAAUAGUGCGCACUCUGCCUUCCGGAAACUCUAGGCUACGGCAGUUGGAAUCAGGAAAAGCCCUAGAGAGCAGACUCCGGGAAUUUGUUUUGGAGCUGGAUUAUUCGUGGUCCAACAGCAACACGAGACCCGUACUGGUGGGAAGUGGUUGGGUGAGAACCCCUGGAUGCAGUGGCCUGACAAUUACUGAUGUUUUCACCCAUGAUUAACUGGGAUGGCAUGAAAGGAGUAGGCGAGGCAUAAUUUUGUGCAGAGGCUUUGCUAAAUAAACAGUUUUGGGAAAAUGAUAAUUAUGAGACUACUGGGGUCGAUUAACUACAUUGCAGUUCUUGGCAAAAUAAAGAAAAAAAACCAAAAAGCAGAAAAAUAACAACAAAACAACAACAACAACAACAACAAGGAUAGACUCAGAGCAAUAACCUGCCGGCUUGAAGCGUGAAAGCCAUAAGGGGGCUUCAUGGCUGUUUCGAAGAGCGUGGUAGCCAUGGAGCAGGCUGUAGGAAAUCGGAGGCCAGGGCUGCAGAAUGGACCAAAUGCACAGCCAUGGCACGAGUCUUUAUUAGGACCUUGAUGGAAAGACAGAGGGAGCCUCAGAGCUGGCCCAGGGACAUUGGGGUGGAUGAACCUGAGGAUCUUGAACCCUCAAACUCCCUUGUGUGUCCAGCGUAGGAAGGAGCAGCCGCCUUCCUCUUGCCAGAGGAAGCAUUGUCUCCUGCUUGGAUACCGUGUGAGGCUCUGCCCUGAGACAGGGCCUCCCAGUGCUGUCCUGGGCUCCUCAAGAUCAGCCUGCCUCGCUCCUCGCUUCCUCCGGAACAAUACCCAGGGUCAGAUCCUAGCACUUGUUGAAUGAAGAGGUACUGACUGGGCCCAGGGGAAAAUAGCUUAUACCCACAAGGCCUGCCAGUGGUUGCCUGAUGCAUGCUGGUAGACCUUGGAGAAACCUUUCUGGGAAUGGAAUUACAAGGUAUUGGAGCAGGCAGUGGAGACUCUAAGACUGGAUGCGGAGAACUUUUGAUGUCAGGGCCUUACUCAUGACUCUGGAUUUGGGAUCUGGAGGAGAUACGUGGGUCUUCUGGACAGGCACCUGGAAGCUUAAGGAUGAAGAUGAACUACAGUGAAUGGGCUGGUUGCCCGAACCCCCUUGGAGGUGUCUUACGGGGUGGAUCCCAAGGCUUGGGUAGGUGGAAACGUCUGAGUGGCCCCACUGAGUGGGACCUCGAGAGCGCACCAGCAGGCCAUGUUUCCCAAGGCAGCCCAGGGGAUACACCCUCCACCAAGAGAGUAGGGGGCUCGCUGGUGAGGGGCGCACUGGGUGUUUUUCAGUAGCUCACUGGUGGCUGUUUUAUGUGGGCUUGGUCAGACAGUGAGAGACGUCUCCGUAAAAUGGAGCUCUUUCCCAUAUAAAUGUUGGAUUUUGGGAAUGACAGAAGCCGCUUGGCCACAUCGAAACACCAGAUGCAAGACAGAAAUUAUGAUCAUAAUUGGCAUCAAGGCCAGAGCGGCAACUGGUGUGGCUUGUCCAACAGGGAUAGGAAUGGUAACUAU